CGGCGUGCCUAACACAUGCAAGUCGUACGAGAAAGCCGGCUUCGGCUGGUGAGUAAAGUGGCGCACGGGUGAGUAACGCGUGGAUAAUCUGCCCUUAAGUGUGGAAUAACGUACCGAAAGGUGCGCUAAUACCGCAUAAUGCCUGGCAACACAAGUUGUCCGGCCAAAGAAGGCCUCUGUUUACAAGCUUUCGCUUCAGGAUGAGUCCGCGUACCAUUAGCUUGUUGGUGGGGUAAUGGCCUACCAAGGCUGCGAUGGUUAGCUGGUCUGAGAGGAUGAUCAGCCACACUGGAACUGAGACACGGUCCAGACUCCUACGGGAGGCAGCAGUGAGGAAUAUUGCGCAAUGGGGGCAACCCUGACGCAGCAACGCCGCGUGAGUGAGGAAGGUUUUCGGACUGUAAAGCUCUGUCGAGCGGGAAGAAGUGUACCAUGGCUAAUAUCCAUGAUAUUUGACGGUACCGCUAGAGGAAGCACCGGCUAACCUCCGUG
rnacentral:rRNA from 1 species